rnacentral:tRNA from 1 species
GGGCCCGUAGCUCAAUGGCAGAGCACACGGCUCAUAACCGUUCGGUUGAAGGUUCGAAUCCUUCCGGGCCCA